rnacentral:rRNA from 1 species
CCUACGGGUGGCUGCAGUGAGGAAUAUUGGUCAAUGGCCGGAAGGCUGAACCAGCCAUGCCGCGUGAAGGUCAGUGCCCUAUGGGCGUUAAACUUCUUUAGUUCGGGAGCAAUAAUGGUCACGUUUGGCCAGACGAGAGUACCGUACGAAUAAGCAUCGGCUAACACCGUGCCAGCAGCCGCGGUAAUACGGGGGAUGCAAGCGUUAUCCGGAUUUAGUGGGUUGAAAGGGUGCGUAGGCUGGGAGGUAAGUCAGCGGUGAAAUUCCCCCGCUCAACGGGGUGAAGUGCCAUUGAUACUGUCGUGCUGGAAUGCGGAUGCCGUGGGAGGAAUGUGUGGUGUAGCGGUGAAAUGCAUAGAUAUCACACAGAACACCGAUUGCGAAGGCAUCUCACGAAGCCGCGAUUGACGCUGAUGCACGAAAGCGUGGGUAUCAAACAGGAUUAGAUACCCGAGUAGUC